rnacentral:rRNA from 1 species
CCUGGAAACAGAUGCUAAUACCGGAUAACAACAGAUGAUGCCUAUCAACUGUUUAAAAGAUGGUUCUGCUAUCACUCUUGGAUGGACCUGCGGUGCAUUAGCUAGUUGGUAGGGUAACGGCCUACCAAGGCGAUGAUGCAUAGCCGAGUUGAGAGACUGAUCGGCCACAUUGGGACUGAGACACGGCCCAAACUCCUACGGGAGGCAGCAGUU